AUGCAGGUCUGUGUUCAGAUGUCCCCUUUUCCAGGAAGCCUGCUCUCUCCCCCAGCCCGGCCUCCUCAGUCACUUAGGACACCACCUAGCGAUUGCCUUUCCACCCUCAGGACAGGACCAACUGCUGCUACUGCCCACUAUUGUGUAUCCAGGACCUGGAAUACGCUGGCUCCACUUCCUGCUUCCUCAUUCUGCUCAAGGUGUCACCAUGCUUACGGUCGAGGACACCGAUCUGGGCCCGGGAUCUCACCUGACUCUCUCCAGGCUCCCCAAGGACCAAAGCUCUAUUGUGGGAUCAAGGCCCCAUCUGCCUUCCUGGAGUUCCAACCAUGGCCUGCUGCCAAGUCCUGCUCCCCACCACCCUCCAUUGCCUUGUUCCCCCUGGAUUUCCACCACAGCUCUGGAUCCUCCCAAAGUCAACCACCUGGAUUCGCCCAACCGCCACCUUCCUGAACAGUAUCCUGCCCGUUAGCCUCUCCCUAGCUUCAAUUCAUUCCUUAGAAACAUAAUAAAGUUUAUGUACUCUGUAUAAUUAUAGCA
rnacentral:lncRNA from 1 species